AGUGAACGCUGGCGGUAGGCCUAACACAUGCUAGUCGAACGGCAGCACAGUAAGAGCUUGCUCUUACGGGUGGCGAGUGGCGGACGGGUGAGGAAUACAUCGGAAUCUACUUUUUCGUGGGGGAUAACGUAGGGAAACUUACGCUAAUACCGCAUACGACCUACGGGUGAAAGCAGGGGAUCUUCGGACCUUGCGCGAUUGAAUGAGCCGAUGUCGGAUUAGCUAGUUGGCGGGGUAAAGGCCCACCAAGGCGACGAUCCGUAGCUGGUCUGAGAGGAUGAUCAGCAACACUGGAACUGAGACACGGUCCAGACUCCUACGGGAGGCAGCAGUGGGGAAUAUUGGACAAUGGGCGCAAGCCUGAUCCAGCCAUACCGCGUGGGUGAAGAAGGCCUUCGGGUUGUAAAGCCCUUUUGUUGGGAAAGAAAAGCAGCAGGUUAAUACCCCGCUGUUCUGACGGUACCCAAAGAAUAAGCACCGGCUAACUUCGUG
rnacentral:rRNA from 1 species